rnacentral:tRNA from 1 species
GGCCUGGUGGCGGAGCGGUUUACGUAGAAGCCUUGUAAGGUCUUCCAGCCUGGUUCGAUUCCAGGCCGGGCCUCCA